AGAGAUGUGUGAUGACGCAUAUCAAUAAGCGGAGGAAAAGAAACUAACAAGGAUUCCCUUAGUAACGGCGAGUGAAGCGGGAAGAGCUCAAAUUUGAAAUCUUCAAGGUUCUACCUUGACGAAUUGUAGUUUAUAGAAGUGUUUUCUGUUAGUAGAGUGGCAAAAGUUCUUUGGAAUAGGACAUCAUAGAGGGUGAGAAUCCCGUAUUUGGUCCAUUCCUUCCUAGCUUAGUGAUACACUUUCAACGAGUCGGAUUGUUUGGGAAUGCAGUCCAAAAUGGGUGGUAAAUUUCAUCUAAAGCUAAAUAUUGGCGAGAGACCGAUAGCGAACAAGUACCGUGAGGGAAAGAUGAAAAGAACUUUGAAAAGAGAGUUAAACAGUACGUGAAAUUGUCAAAAGGGAAGCGUUUGACACCAGUGUUGUUUUUCCGAAAAUCAAUUACGAAUGUUUUGUUUUUGAGAAGUUAUGACUUCAUCGGCUUGCUUCUCUCUUUACGAAACUUUCUUAAUGCACUUUUCGGUUAACAAGUCAACAUCAAUUUCUUUUGUUGUAAAAGGGUAUGAGGAAGGUGGCUUUCUUUUCGGAGAAAGUGUUUAUAGCCUUGUACCUCUGCAAUCGGAGAGAUUGAGGUCUGCAGCGUAGAUCCUUCGGGGUUAGAUACAUUUGUGCUAAGUUAUAGCUUGUCAUAGACAACUUGUUGACUAUGUUAAGUCAUUGUAGCUUACUCGCUUAUGCUAUUUUACCUACGCUUAGGAUGUUGAAGUCAUCGUAUCGCGC
rnacentral:rRNA from 1 species